UCGUGGGAAUCGUUGCCGGCCUGGUUGUCCUUCGAGCUGUAGUCACUGGAGCUGUGGUCGCUGCUGUGAUGUGGAGGAAGAAGAGCUCAGGAUAUUUUCUUCCCACAGAUAAUAAAGGAGGAAGCUACUCUCAGGCUGCAAUCCCUGCCAGUUUGCUCCUUCGACUCCAUCAACAUCAGCACCUGCCAGAUGCCCAACACCAACUGUGUGAAGAGUGAAAAGGCCCCAGAACUAAAGGACAAGACUAAUUUCCAUCCGAGCCAUCCCUCCCCUCGCAGAGCUCUAGCUCCAUGCUUGUAGUGCUUAGGCUCUUAACCUGGGGCCCUGAAACCCACCAUCCCAUGACACUGCAUGCAGAAGUGAUGUUACGUCCACAUGUGACUUCCUUACAGGACAUUGAAUCGUAAUAUUAAUCAGAUCAGUAGGGACUCAAGACACCACUCUUCCCCCAACAGCUUGCGAUCCUCUGAACUAAAGAAAGGGUAGAUAUCGAGGGACGCUCUAACUCCAAAUCUUCUACCACUUCUAGUGAAGUUCUGACAAGAAGUGCAAGGUACUCAACCUGCUCUGGGGAUACAGCAGGAAAGAGUGUUCAUGGAUUUCAAAUUCCAGCAAAGAAAUACCAUUUUGGCAAAAUAUUCAUGUCACUUCUCUAAGCCCCAGCCAGAAGCUCUAAUAA